CUUGAUCCAGAGAACUUUCCAGAGAUGGUUUGGUGCCUUCGGGAACUCUGAGACAGGUGCUGCAUGGCUGUCGUCAGCUCGUGUUGUGAAAUGUUGGGUUAAGUCCCGCAACGAGCGCAACCCUUAUCCUUUGUUGCCAGCGGUCCGGCCGGGAACUCAAAGGAGACUGCCAGUGAUAAACUGGAGGAAGGUGGGGAUGACGUCAAGUCAUCAUGGCCCUUACGAGUAGGGCUACACACGUGCUACAAUGGCGCAUACAAAGAGAAGCGACCUCGCGAGAGCAAGCGGACCUCAUAAAGUGCGUCGUAGUCCGGAUUGGAGUCUGCAACUCGACUCCAUGAAGUCGGAAUCGCUAGUAAUCGUAGAUCAGAAUGCUACGGUGAAUACGUUCCCGGGCUGUUACACACCG
rnacentral:rRNA from 1 species